CCGUGCAGCCGGGGCGUUAGCGGUGCCUUGUACCUGCAAUCCGCUAUAGCAGGGGUGAUGUCUGACGGAGGGCUUUGGCUUUUGUGGCUGCCCUUUAUAAGUGGCGUUGAAGUUCGGGUCUUACGCAAUGGAAAUCUACGAACCGUGUCAGGUUGGGAACAAAGCAGCACUAAGUAGAAUCUUCCAUGUGCCGUGAGGGUGCCUGGCGGAGCUAACUGUAAAGGUAACGCACAGGGGUGUCGUUCGAAGUUGGGACGCACGG
rnacentral:SRP_RNA from 1 species